rnacentral:lncRNA from 1 species
GAUGACGUUCUCAGGAGGUUCACCAAUGGCGCCGGCAAGUUCAGCCUUGCUCUCAGCAAGGACACCAUGGGGCUCCUAAGCCUGCAUGACAUGUCACACCUGGACAUCGGAGAAGAACAAACACUCCAUGAGGCCAAGGAGUUCUCAAGAAAGCACCUUGCAUCUGCCAUCAGCAACAUGGAGCCAGGCCUUGCGAGGUAUGUGAGGCAGUCACUGGACCACCCCUACCACCUGAGCUUGAUGCAGUACAAGGCAAGGCACCACCUCAGCUACCUGCAGAACCUGCCCAGUAGGAGCACUGCUGCAAUGGAGGAGUUGGCAGUUGCAGAGUUCCAGCUUAACAAAAUGCUGCAUCAGAUGGAAAUGAAAGAGAUCAAAAGGUACAUUAUAUGCAUAGAUAUAUAUAUAAGCCAUCGGUCGUCCUUGCUAGAAAUGCAUAUUUUGACCUGUUGGCUUAUUAUUUUCUUAACUAAUCGUCAUGCUAAUCUAAUAGAAUCGGUCGUCCUUACUUGUUUUUCCUUUUUCUAAGAGUCAAGUAAAAAAAAGUCUCUUUAAAUAUAUAUGAACCCUAAUUAUUGUUAGAGAAACCCCAACCCAUGUAAUGCAGAUGGUGGAUGAACUUAGGAUUAGCUCAAGAAAUACCGGUGGCUCGGGACCAGGUCCUCAAAUGGUACACAUGGUCCAUGACUAUACUCCAAGGAUCUUCCUUCUCCAAAUACAGAGUUGAGAUCACAAAGAUUAUCUCGAUCGCCUAUGUUGUGGAUGACAUAUUUGAUCUUGUUGGCACCCUGGAGGAGCUCUCCCUCUUCACCGAGGCAAUCAAAAUGUAAGCUUGGAUAUGCAUGCUUCUUUGCAAAAUAACAAUGCCACAUAUACAAUCUGUGAGGUUCAGAAUUAUUUAAAAACUUAUGUUACAAUCUGUAGGUGGGAUGUCGCAGCUGCUGAUUCACUCCCCUGUUACAUGAGAUCAUGCUACAAAGCUCUUUACACAGUUACAAAUGAGAUGGCAGAUAUGGCUGAGAAUGAGCACGGGCUGAACCCUAUCGAUCAUCUCAGGAAAGCUGUAAGUUGCACACACAAAUAUAAUAUCUCCAGAAUUUUAUUUGGAUGAUAAAAUUAAUUGUAUAUAUAAAAAAUGUUAUCAAUGUACAUGAUUCCUCAAAAAGAUGUUGUAGAUGUAGCUAUGAUUCCUAGCUAGUUACUGAAUCUUACAAGCGUUACUGAAUGGAGAAGAAGAUUCAGAAUACUUACCUCUGCCAUUGCUACGUACUAACCACAGAAGAAUUAACUACUUACUGAAUGGAGAAUAAGAUUCAGAAUAUUUGCUUCUGCCAUCGUUAAUAACCACAAAAGAAUUAAUUAUUAUAUUACUACAUGGGCCCUUACUACAUUUCUUUUUUGCAGUGGGCAAUGCUGUUUGAUGCGUUCAUGGUUGAGGCAAAAUGGCUAGCAACUGAUCAGGUUCCUUCCGCAGAUGAGUACUUGAGAAACGGUGUCAUCACUUCAGUAGUGCCGCUCGCAUUUGUGCACAUACUCUUCCUUCUAGGGCAUCACCAUGCAGCGAGUGGCAACGCCGCAGAGCUCAGCGACAGCAUCCCUCCAGCCAUCACCAGCUUAUCCAAAAUCCUUAGACUCUGGGAUGACAUGGGUAGUGCCAAGGUCAGAAUGAUCGAUUGUAAUAUUUUUUGAAAUAUAGCAUAGAUAUAAAUGGAUUUUAUUUUCUGAUAAUAUAAUAGUAAUGCAUAGAAGAACUAGCAGUAGGAGUAUACCUGUUACAAAUAGGAGCAGGAGAGAUCAUCAGAUGAAUCACUAUCACUACACGUUGAAUUAAAAUAAACUCAACUUGUUGCAUUAUAUUAGUUGGAUUUUGCUGCUUGCAGGAUGAAGCACAGGAAGGGUUGGAUGGGUCAUACAGGGAGCUGUACCUGAGGGAGCAUCCUGCAGCCGCCGGCGACGUGGAAGAACACAUGCGCAGGCUGAUCGCCAAGGAGUGGCAGGAGCUCAACCGGGAGUGCUUCUCCAGGAGGACCUUCUCUUCCUGCUUGGCGCAGGCCUGCCUGAACGCCGCCAGGAUGGUCAGCGUCAUGUACAUGUAUGACAAGGAGCACAGGCUCCCUGUCCUUGAGGACUACAUGAGGCUGCUGCUGCUUUGAAACCUACUGCUCCAGCCUCCAGCUCAUCCUCAUAGAUGCGAAUCCAUGCAUGCAAGAUGGCAAGUGCGCUAUUAUGCUAUUAUUAAAACAAAGUGUGUUACUAACAACUAGCAGUAUGUGAGAGAUAGAUAUAGAUUAGGGACUAAGGAGUAGACAGGAGAGGAUAGAUUUAAUUAAUCCAGUUUGUACCUGUAUGGCAUAAUGGCAUUUUUUCCUCCUCUGGUUCUCUGCUUUCAUCGUGGACUAUUUCACUAUUACAUAAGUGGGCUACAGUCCUGGUUAAUUAGGAAAGACCUUUCAUAUUGUUUUUUUCGACCAAGACUGCGAAUCCAGGAUGUUAUGUGGUUAUGUACCGAAAAUGUACAUGUGGUUAUGUGAGAAUAUAUAUGUGUGGUUAACUGGUUAUGUACUCGAAAUAUAUAUAAUUAUGUACUCAAAAUAUACAAUAAAUAAACAAAACUCUGUUUUUGUUUUUUUGCAAGGGGUAAAACGGUCCAUAGAGCAAAUAAAUUUUGUUUUGAGGCCAUAAAGCCAAAAUUUGGACACAAUUUUGUUCAUGUCUCCUAUAAGAUUAAUGUGUGUGUAAGUUUGUACUUUCUUCAUGGAAAUAAUAAUUCUGCUUGGUCAAUUUGAAAGUCGAGGAAAGAUCAAUUUUUUUUUUGAAACGAACCGGCAGGAGAGCUGCCUGCUAUAUUAAAAAGAGGAGAGUGCCAAGACAGGCAAAAUACAAACACGAAAAAAAGCAGCACCCGCAGAGGGUGAAAGGAGAAAAAAUAUACACAGGAGUGCCAAUCAAAACUGUAGACGGUGGUGAUUCACGAAAUCGUCCAGGUGCUUUGCUCCUGCCAUGAUCCACACUCUCACCCCCUCCUUGAUCUUUUGGAGAACCCCCAAGUUUGUGGACUCCGCUCGUUGAAAAAUUCUAGCAUUCCUUCCAAAUUUCCCAACAAAUUAGGAUGAUAAUCGACCGGAGGCCUCUCUUGUUUACACUAGGCACGUCUGAUAUGGCUGUCCACCACCUCUCUAGGUUGUCGCUAGGUGGCCAGGCAUUUGGCUGUAAUUCAUGGUUUGCUGUCCAAACGGCGAUUUCACUCCACAGACGUUUCGUGAACCUACAAUCUUUGAAAAGGUGCAAGCCCGUUUCUGCAUGUAGUCUACAUAGAGGGCAGAUCCUUUGGUUUGGCCAAUUUCGUGCUUGUAAUCUGUCAGCAGUCCAAAUUCGGUUUUGUAUGGCAAGCCAGCUGAAGAAUUUGCAUUUAGGCGGCGCCCAUGCCUUCCAAAUAAUAGUUUCAAAAUUAUUGCGGGUUGUGCCUAUAAACUGGGCGUGGUAGGCUGACGAAGCAGAGUAGUCACCAUUUUUCUGGAAUUUCCAUGUGAGGGUAUCUGGCGUCCCUGUUCUCAACGUGAUGCGCCUGGCCUCUUGCCACAGAUGCCUGUACUCAACAAAGUGCUGGGCAGAAAAGCUUGAAUGUUGUAGGCUGAUGUCAUGUAUCCAGUUGUUGUCGAGUAGAGCUUGAUGCAGCGUUCUGUUUUUUUUCCUGGAAAUAGAGUAAAAAUGUGGCACUACAUCACAGGGGCGCUGGCCAUUUAGCCAUGCACUCUUCCAGAAAGACGCUCGUUCUCCAUUUCCAAUUGUGAGCGUUGUGGAAGCCGCAAAGAUUUAGACAACUGCAGCCAUCAAUUUGGACACAAUUUAGGAUGUAUUAUAUAAGACAUAUAUGUCAAUUUGUAUUCGAAGCUAGUGCUUGCAAAAUCUCUCAUGUACUUAAAGGGCGGGAUAUAUCAUAGAAAAAACACACAAGUGGCUCAAGACAAAUAUCGAAGAUCAUUCAAAAUGAAAUAAAUUCAGAAAACACUGUCUCUGGAGGGGAUCUGAUGAUAAUAGCAGAAUUAAUGCUAAGGCUGCUUGGAGUCUGGUCGCUAGGACAAAACAGAAUGGUGGACUUGGGGUUUUGGAUUUGAGAACCCAGAACGAAGCCCUCCUUCUAAAACAGUUACACAAGUUCUUCAAUCGAGCUGAUAUUCCUUGGGUGCAUUUAGUUUGGGAAAAACACUAUAACAAUGGAAAGCUUCCUGGCCAUACUAAGAAGGGGUCCUUCUGGUGGUGGGACGUUUUAAAACUGCUUGACAAGUUUAAAGGCAUGGCAACCCCCCAAAUCAAUGAUGGCGCCACUUGCCUCUUCUGGGAUGAUUGCUGGGCUGGCCAACCCCUCAAGCAGACAUUCCCUGAACUUUUCUCGUUUGCCAAGAAAGCUGAAAUCUCCCUUAAAAAUACCCUUGCUGAAAGUCAGUUCUAUAGGCUCUUUAAUCUUCCUCUCAGCAUCCAGGCCUUUGAUCAGCUUCAGGAGUUACAAGAGUUCUAGCAUAGUUUAAACCCCAGCUCUAAUUUGGAUGUUUGGAGAUACAUUUGGGGAGAUAGCACAUUCUCUCCUAAGCAAGCCUAUAAUCAACUCAUGGGAACAAAUGAAGUUCACCCUAUCUUUAGCUGGAUUUGGAAAUCUUCAUGUCAUUUGGAAAUCUUCAUGUCAGCCGAAACAUAAAGUCUUUUUCUGGCUUGUUCUCCUUGACAGAGUCAGCACCAGGAAUCUUUUAAGAAGGAAGCAGAUGUUUCUUCCUUCAUAUAACUGCGCUCUCUGUAAUGAUGACAUGGAAGAAUAUGUUGAUCAUUUGUUUCUGGACUGCAGAAUCGCCAGAGAUUGUUGGGCGUUGAUUGGAUUAUCAGUAACCAGCUCGCCUGACAUGGUUCAAAAAUUUGAAAAUCUCAGAAACAAAAUUGGUAAGAGAUUCUUCAUAGAGAUAAUUAUCAUUAUGUGCUGGAGUAUCUGGACCAUCCGAAAUGAUGCCGUCUUCAGGGAAGUCCCAGCUUGCAGCCUCAGGUGUUUGGAAAUCUUCAGAAGCACCUUCAAGCAACUCCUUUGGAGAGCGAAGAAAAAAUACUUUCCUGCAAUUGAACUAUGGCUGAGCAAGCUGUAUUCUAGUUUCAAUUUUUUUUCUUUCCUUUUUUGUUCCCUAAUGUUCCUUUCAGUCUGUUCUGUUUUGUUUAUAUCUUGUAAACGCUGGUUUUGUUUCUUUUUAAUAAAAUUCCCAGUAGAGGUCCUCCCGGACCUCUCCUGUUCGCUCAAAAAAGUAUUAUUUGUGACCAAGGGAUCGGCCGCGCGUCAGCAUCAUGUCGUAGGUUAGGUCCAAGAGUGUCACCAUCAUUUGAUUUUUGGAAAAAUAUAUAAUAAACGCGCGCUCUCACUCUCCACCACCACUGACGCUUGCAUUGGCACACCAGAGAGGCAUCACGGAUGUACGAAAGACUUUUCUUGGAUGUGGACGGAGCGGCCGGGAGAUGAUGGCCACCGUCGACAACCUGAAGCGCCUCUGCAUCGAUCACUACUUCGAGGAAGAGAUCCACAGUGCCAUGACCACCACAUCCACAUGCAUGGAUCUCCUCCACAGCCAUGACCUCCUCGAUGCAACCCUCUCCUUCAGGCUCAUGAGAGAGACCGGGCAUCAUGUGCAACACUCGGCAAAAGAAGGGCACCCAGCAAAAUAAAAGUAACCUGACGGCCGCCCCCGCGUACGCUGUUAAAAAAUAUGUAUUUUGCCGAGAGCCGGCAUAAGCACUCAGCGAAGACGCUUGCUUUGCCGAGUGCCGGGAUGUGGCACUCGGCAAAGAGGCCUCUUCACCGUUUGCCGAGUGCAGCUGCCUAGCACUCGGUGAAGUUUUUUUUGUUUUUUGUUUUUUUGACCCAUGUUUUUUAUGAGGCAUUACCACAUUAUUUAAAACUCUAUCUUCAAAUUUGGGACAACUUUGAGUUUUUUUUAAUAUAUUUCUUUAUUUUUCUCCUCUUGUUGAAUUUUUUGGAAUAAUUCAAAUUUGAACUGUAUGUUUUCAUGGAAUAAUCGAAUUUGAUCGUUAUAAAAAUGAUAUUUAUGAUUUUUGGUUUAUGAUGAGGCUGUAUUCAGGAUCUCACAUGAAAUGUCAAGCAUUUUGUUGACCUAACAUGACGAGGUAUUUGCGAGAAAAGUGUUCUUAAAUUAUAUAAAAUCCGAACAAAGUUCAAAAAUCACGAAACUUGUUGAGGCGUCAUGUUAUUGCAUAUAGAGGCUAUGAUAAAAAAUGGAGAAGGUUUCGAGCAAGUUAUGAUGUCGAAUGUCUAAAACUCACACAUGAUCACAUGUGAUCACACUCAUCAUAUGUGUGGUCAUGUUUAGGUUUUAGGCAUUCGACGUGACAAUGUUCUCCAAAUCGUUUAAAAUUUUUAUCAUAGCCUCUACAUACGAUAACAUGAGACUUUGUCAAGAUUCAUGUUUUUUCGGACUUCGUUCACAUUUUAUAUAAUUUUAAAACAUUUAGACCACAAGGCGAUCGUCAUGUUACAUGAACAAGAUGUUUAAAAAUUCAGGCGAGUUCAUGAAUACAGCCUCAAAAUACACUUAAAAAUAUGAAUAUUAUUUUUUGAAACACUAAAUUUCAUUAUUUCAAGCACCUAUAGUUCAAAUUAACUUUUUUGAGAAUAAUGUAAGGAAACAAAAUAAAUUAAAAAAAUUAGGAAGCGAACUCAAACAAGUUUUAAUAUUUGAAAAUAGAGUUAUGAAUAAUGAGGAGAAAAGAUAUUCAUUUUUUAAGAAUUACAAACAACCAUUUUCUCUGGGAUCGCACGUUGGGGCGUCUCAUCCCUCACACUCGCCGUGAGCCGCUUCGAAUUCUUUUUUAUGUAUUGAACUUGUGAACUUGUGGACUAUGAGUUGUGGUUUGUAACAUAUUGUGGAUUUCGGACAAAUUUAGUCUUUUUGGAUAUAAAUUUGUGGUUUGUGAUUAUUUGCUGUUGAAUCGUGGUAUAUAUAUAUAUAUAUAUAUAUGCAUUGUUGUCUACAUGGGGAAACAAAAAAAAUCAGAGGUGGCUUUGCCGAGUGCAAUGGUCAUGGCACUCGGCAAAGAAAAUACCGAAACAAUAUUAAAACAUGUCUUUGCCGAGUGUUGGGAUAGGGCACUCGGCAAAGAAAAUACUGAAAAAAUAUUAAAACAAGUCUUUGCCGAGUGUUGCACUCGGCAAAGAGAGUUUUAAUUUUAAAAAAUAAAAAUCUUUGCCGAGUGUUGCACUCGGCAAAGAGCGUUAAAUCUUUAUCGAGUGUCACUGUGGCACUCGGUAACUCCUUUGCCGAGAGUCCGUAUUUUGGCACUCGGUAAAGCCGGCUUUACCGUUAACAUCUUCGCCGUAAUUCUUUGCCGAGUGCAAUUUUGCCUUUGCCGAGUGUAAUAGACACUCGGCAAAGAAUCAGCCUGCAGUAGUGACUUUAUAUAUAUAUAUAUAUAUAUAUAUAUAGACACACACACACAUUGUGUAGAGAGAAAAUUCAAAAGAAACAAGCUAAUGUUUUCCACAUGUGCAGUUUUGUCUCUAUACUGUCUCAGUAGACAACAUAGAGGCAUGUAUACAAAAAUACAAGUAGGGGCCUCCCUGCUGACCUUUAAAAAAAAAGUAGACAACAUAUAAUAGACCCAGUCAAAAAACCAGAAAUUGAAGUUUUACAAAGAGAUUGCAUGACUCUAAAUAUACAUUAUUACCAAACAAAUAAUGGCUAAAAAACAAAAAACCGUAAUAGACCUCAGUUACAUUGCGAAGAAAAUAUACUGUUGUUCAUGGUUGUAUGACCCCUCUGAAUCAACGUGCAUAUGAAUGCAGAUGACAAUGGCGCCGGCAAGUUCAGCCUUGCUCUCAGCAAGGACACCAUGGGGCUGCUAAGCCUGCAUGACAUGUCGCACCUGGACAUCGGAGAAGAACCAGCACUCCAUGAGGCCAAGGAGUUCUCAAGAAAGCACCUUGCAUCUGCCAUCAGCAACAUGGAGCCAGGCCUUGCGAGGUAUGUGAGGCAGUCACUGGACCACCCCUACCACCUGAGCCUGAUGCAGUACAAGGCAAGGCACCACCUCAGCUACCU